rnacentral:rRNA from 1 species
GAUGAACGCUGGCGGCGUGCCUAAUACAUGCAAGUCGAGCGAAUGGAUUAAGAGCUUGCUCUUAUGAAGUUAGCGGCGGACGGGUGAGUAACACGUGGGUAACCUGCCCAUAAGACUGGGAUAACUCCGGGAAACCGGGGCUAAUACCGGAUAACAUUUUGAACCGCAUGGUUCGAAAUUGAAAGGCGGCUUCGGCUGUCACUUAUGGAUGGACCCGCGUCGCAUUAGCUAGUUGGUGAGGUAACGGCUCACCAAGGCAACGAUGCGUAGCCGACCUGAGAGGGUGAUCGGCCAAACUGGGACUGAGGCACGGCCCAGACUCCUACGGGAGGCAGCAGUAGGGAAUCUUCCGCAAUGGACGAAAGUCUAACGGAGCAACGCCGCGUGAGUGAUGAAGGCUUUCGGGUCGUAAAACUCUGUUGUUAGGGAAGAACAAGUGCUAGUUGAAUAAGCUGGCACCUUGACGGUACCUAACCAAAAAGCCACGGCUAACUACGUGCCAGCAGCCGCGGUAA